UCCCCUAGUAACUGCGAGUGAAGCGGGAAAAGCUCAAAUUUAAAAUCUGAGGGUCUUUAUGGCCUUCCGAGUUGUAAUCUAGAGAAGUGCUAUCCGCGCUGGACCGUGUACAAGUCUCCUGGAACGGAGCGUCAUAGAGGGUGAGAAUCCCGUCUUUGACACGGACUACCAGGGCUUAUGUGAUGCGCUCUCAAAGAGUCGAGUUGUUUGGGAAUGCAGCUCUAAAUGGGUGGUAAAUUCCAUCUAAAGCUAAAUAUUGGCGAGAGACCGAUAGCGAACAAGUACCGUGAGGGAAAGAUGAAAAGAACUUUGGAAAGAGAGUUAAACAGUACGUGAAAUUGUUGAAAGGGAAACGCUUGAAGUCAGUCGCAUUGGCCAGGGAUCAACCUUGCUUUUGCUUGGUGUAUUUUCUGGUUAAUGGGUCAGCAUCAAUUUUGAUCGGUGGAAAAAGAUCAAGGGAAUGUGGCAUCUUCGGAUGUGUUAUAGCCUUUGGUUGUAUACAUCGGUUGGGAUUGAGGAACUCAGCACGCCGCAAGGCCGGGUUUUUAACCACGUACGUGCUUAGGAUGCUGGCAUAAUGGCUUUAAUCGACCCGUCUUGAAACACGGACCAAGGAGUCUAACAUGCACGCGAGUGUUUGGGUGGAAAACCCGAGCGCGUAAUGAAAGUGAAAAUUGAGAUCCCUGUCGUGGGGAGCAUCGAUGCCCGGACCAGACCUUUUGUGACGGUUCCGCGGUUGAGCGUGUAUGCUGGGACCCGAAAGAUGGUGAACUAUGCCUGAAUAGGGUGAAGCCAGAGGAAACUCUGGUGGAGGCUCGUAGCGAUUCUGACGUGCAAAUCGAUCGUCAAAUUUGGGUAUAGGGGCGAAAGACUAAUCGAACC
rnacentral:rRNA from 1 species